GGGCGUUGACUGGUCGGUCCAUACUCCCAGUCUGCCUCUCUCUUUCCCUAGUAGGGUGGGUCUCUGGGGAAGCGGAGCUCCAGGACAUAUUGGUGGGGUCUUCAGUCCAGGGAAGCCUGGCCAGCAUCCUGAUGGCAUCUGGAACCUGGUGGCUGAAAAGAGAGUUAACAUACAGAGCCAAACAAAUUGUUGAGCAAUCAUGGACCCAAAGCUUGGAAUAGUGGAGAGGAAGUGUUAGGGAGGUACUCACUGCAAACUCUAGUGUACUUCUGCUUUCAGGUAUAUAUUUUGCAGUAGUUUAUGGAUACGUGUGAACAUAAGCUCUCUCUCACAGAAACUGGUGUAUAUCUACGUUUUGGGACUUUGUUAGAAAGUGAACCACCUGAGAUGGAAUUAGAAUAUGCAACCAAUUCUUGAAGGCUGUUGCCUUUUAGAUGGCUCUGGAGGGAAUUUUAAUUAGGGGGUACAUAAUCAUACUAGUAUUUUAUUUACUAACCUUAGGAAAUAUUGGGUUUCAAGAUUGCUGUCACAGGGGUAAUUUCACAUCUCCCCCCAAAUAGAUGCUAUCACACCUUUUCUACAACAGAGCACUGGGCCCUCAAUCUCUUUGUGCCCUCUCUUCCACCUCCCCCAUUUGAAUCCCCAGAUCUGCUGACAUAGGUCACAAUUUAUUAAUGUUUCUGUAUUUUUCUUUGCUUUGUUUCUUUUUCUUUCUUUUUUUAUUUUUUAAUUUUAUUUAUAAAAUGAGAACACUGACAAGACCAUAGGAUAAGAGGGGUACAAUUCCCACCACCAGAACUCCAUAUCCCCUCCCCUCCCCUGACAGCUUUCCUAUUUUUUUUUCAUAUUUUUAUAUUACAGAAUUACAUGUAGACAGGGGUUUGAAUCCAUACCACCCCAAUUUCACCUAUGACUGAGACCAUCUGGCGUUUGGAUUUCUUCUGAUUUGCUUUACUUACUUUACUGUUUAUUCCAUAUCUAUGUCACAGCAAAACAAACAGAGACAAAAGUAAAAGACAAGAAAACAAAACAAAAAGCCCCUCUCAUCUUCUCAGACUAGAGCUAAAAGGACCAAGGUUGGUGGAAAAGUGAAGAGGCUGUGACCAUGGUCUAGCUGGGACCAGGUGAAUGGCUGCAGGGUGGGGAGGAUCAGAUAGAGACAAAGACCAAAAGUCAGAGAGAGAGAGAGAGAGAGAGACUGAAAGAGACCACAGCGCUGAAACUUCCUCCAAUGUGGUGAGCAUCAGACUUGAACUUGGGUCAUGCCCUUGGCAAAGCACCAUCCUAUCCAGGUGGGACUGGGGACUUGAACCUAUGUCAUCACACACUGGAUUGUGUGCUCUACAAAUUGAAUCAUCAACAGGCUCAUUAUUUAAGUCUUAUUUUUAUUCUUAUUUUUGAAGGCUUGAAGUAACAUAGACAAUGAAAGACAGGAUAUGGUAAACAUAAAGCUAGAUAAGAACAAAAGGGUGGAGACACAAAAUUGAGCCAGGAAUGACUCUAAGAAUACUAAUUGUAGUGACCCUUGUUAUGGGUGGAACUUAGGUUUGACUCCAAGUUUUCUGGGCAGUCACAGAGCUCAAUUAAUCAAAGACAAAAAUAAGCCAGCUGCUUAGGUGAAAUAUUAACACCCGUGGUUCUAAGAACAGAAAUGCUGCAUGAACUUUCUUUUAACCAGCUUCUACAUAGGGCUUUGACAGUUGCAUGUAUGUAAGAAAGCUCUGUGCUACUAUACUGUCUAACCACAUCAUAGUUGUCCCAGUUAUUGUCCUUUAGUCACUUUUAAAGAUCACAGGCAUAACAAAGACUUAUGCCUAGAAAAAAAAAUACC